UCACUAAAAACUGCCGCUCACAGCCGGCGC
rnacentral:sRNA from 1 species